GCCGAUCUGUCCGGUGCAUUCCCAUCCCCACCAUCUGGUGAGUCCUUUUAUUUGUUCUUCUGUAAAAAUUUAAAAAUGUCUCUUUGUUUUACAUGUGAGGCCAGGAAUGAGGAUUCACGAACACUGCAAUUCAAUUAUGGUUCAUUCAAACAUAAGGCAUUGGAUAAAUCCUUAACUAAAAAGGUUCCUAAAAAUCGUUUGACUUCAAAUACUAAACUAACACAAUGUUGCUCUAUUGUAGGGAUUUUUGAAGCACUGACUGCAUUCCCCUUUCUCCCUUCCUGCUGUGCGAAGCCGUGCCCCAAACCCUCUACCAUCUUAUUUCAGUCCCCACUCUCUACCAUCCUCCAGGGAAAAAACACUAGCAAUCUUACAUGAAUUCCAAGUUUUGCAUGUCGUUGCUGUUGGUGAAUGUGGUUUGGAUUAUGACAGACUUCAGUUCUGUCCGGCAGAUAUGCAAAAGAAGUACUUUGAGAAACAAUUUGAGUUGGCUAAAGCUGUAAAACUGCCCAUGUUUCUUCACAUGCGUGCUGUUGGUGAAGACUUAUGUGAAAUCAUGACACGAAAUUUGCACAG
rnacentral:misc_RNA from 1 species